rnacentral:rRNA from 1 species
UGUGAGCUCGAUGAGUAGGGCGGGACACGUGGUAUCCUGUCUGAAUAUGGGGGGACCAUCCUCCAAGGCUAAAUACUCCUGACUGACCGAUAGUGAACCAGUACCGUGAGGGAAAGGCGAAAAGAACCCCGGCGAGGGGAGUGAAAAAGAACCUGAAACCGUGUACGUACAAGCAGUGGGAGCACGCUUAGGCGUGUGACUGCGUACCUUUUGUAUAAUGGGUCAGCGACUUAUAUUCUGUAGCAAGGUUAACCGAAUAGGGGAGCCGAAGGGAAACCGAGUCUUAACUGGGCGUUAAGUUGCAGGGUAUAGACCCGAAACCCGGUGAUCUAGCCAUGGGCAGGUUGAAGGUUGGGUAACACUAACUGGAGGACCGAACCGACUAAUGUUGAAAAAUUAGCGGAUGACUUGUGGCUGGGGGUGAAAGGCCAAUCAAACCGGGAGAUAGCUGGUUCUCCCCGAAAGCUAUUUAGGUAGCGCCUCGUGAAUUCAUCUCCGGGGGUAGAGCACUGUUUCGGCAAGGGGGUCAUCCCGACUUACCAACCCGAUGCAAACUGCGAAUACCGGAGAAUGUUAUCACGGGAGACACACGGCGGGUGCUAACGUCCGUCGUGAAGAGGGAAACAACCCAGACCGCCAGCUAAGGUCCCAAAGUCAUGGUUAAGUGGGAAACGAUGUGGGAAGGCCCAGACAGCCAGGAUGUUGGCUUAGAAGCAGCCAUCAUUUAAAGAAAGCGUAAUAGCUCACUGGUCGAGUCGGCCUGCGCGGAAGAUGUAACGGGGCUAAACCAUGCACCGAAGCUGCGGCAGCGACACUGUGUGUUGUUGGGUAGGGGAGCGUUCUGUAAGCCUGUGAAGGUGUACUGUGAGGUAUGCUGGAGGUAUCAGAAGUGCGAAUGCUGACAUAAGUAACGAUAAAGCGGGUGAAAAGCCCGCUCGCCGGAAGACCAAGGGUUCCUGUCCAACGUUAAUCGGGGCAGGGUGAGUCGACCCCUAAGGCGAGGCCGAAAGGCGUAGUCGAUGGGAAACAGGUUAAUAUUCCUGUACUUGGUGUUACUGCGAAGGGGGGACGGAGAAGGCUAUGUUGGCCGGGCGACGGUUGUCCCGGUUUAAGCGUGUAGGCUGGUUUUCCAGGCAAAUCCGGAAAAUCAAGGCUGAGGCGUGAUGACGAGGCACUACGGUGCUGAAGCAACAAAUGCCCUGCUUCCAGGAAAAGCCUCUAAGCAUCAGGUAACAUCAAAUCGUACCCCAAACCGACACAGGUGGUCAGGUAGAGAAUACCAAGGCGCUUGAGAGAACUCGGGUGAAGGAACUAGGCAAAAUGGUGCCGUAACUUCGGGAGAAGGCACGCUGAUAUGUAGGUGAAGUCCCUCGCGGAUGGAGCUGAAAUCAGUCGAAGAUACCAGCUGGCUGCAACUGUUUAUUAAAAACACAGCACUGUGCAAACACGAAAGUGGACGUAUACGGUGUGACGCCUGCCCGGUGCCGGAAGGUUAAUUGAUGGGGUCAGCGCAAGCGAAGCUCUUGAUCGAAGCCCCGGUAAACGGCGGCCGUAACUAUAACGGUCCUAAGGUAGCGAAAUUCCUUGUCGGGUAAGUUCCGACCUGCACGAAUGGCGUAAUGAUGGCCAGGCUGUCUCCACCCGAGACUCAGUGAAAUUGAACUCGCUGUGAAGAUGCAGUGUACCCGCGGCAAGACGGAAAGACCCCGUGAACCUUUACUAUAGCUUGACACUGAACAUUGAGCCUUGAUGUGUAGGAUAGGUGGGAGGCUUGGAAGUGUGGACGCCAGUCUGCAUGGAGCCGACCUUGAAAUACCACCCUUUAAUGUUUGAUGUUCUAACGUUGACCCGUAAUCCGGGUUGCGGACAGUGUCUGGUGGGUAGUUUGACUGGGGCGGUCUCCUCCUAAAGAGUAACGGAGGAGCACGAAGGUUGGCUAAUCCUGGUCGGACAUCAGGAGGUUAGUGCAAUGGCAUAAGCCAGCUUGACUGCGAGCGUGACGGCGCGAGCAGGUGCGAAAGCAGGUCAUAGUGAUCCGGUGGUUCUGAAUGGAAGGGCCAUCGCUCAACGGAUAAAAGGUACUCCGGGGAUAACAGGCUGAUACCGCCCAAGAGUUCAUAUCGACGGCGGUGUUUGGCACCUCGAUGUCGGCUCAUCACAUCCUGGGGCUGAAGUAGGUCCCAAGGGUAUGGCUGUUCGCCAUUUAAAGUGGUACGCGAGCUGGGUUUAGAACGUCGUGAGACAGUUCGGUCCCUAUCUGCCGUGGGCGCUGGAGAACUGAGGGGGGCUGCUCCUAGUACGAGAGGACCGGAGUGGACGCAUCACUGGUGUUCGGGUUGUCAUGCCAAUGGCACUGCCCGGUAGCUAAAUGCGGAAGAGAUAAGUGCUGAAAGCAUCUAAGCACGAAACUUGCCCCGAGAUGAGUUCUCCCUGACCCUUUAAGGGUCCUGAAGGAACGUUGAAGACGACGACGUUGAUAGGCCGGGUGUGUAAGCGCAGCGAUGCGUUGAGCUAACCGGUACUAAUGAACCGUGAGGCUUAACCUUACAACGCCGAAGCUGUU